AUGGCCCGAGUUCUGUUUUGUUUUCCUUUUUCCUUUUUGGUUUGCCUGCUGCUUCCUUCCCUGUCCACCAGAUGUCACCGGAUGACUGAGCCCCUGGAGAGAUGCGGUGCCAACCCCGUAGGCACACCUGUGUCUAAUCUGGAGCUGGCUGCUGUGGUGUAUUUAUGGAGCGUCUGGCCAACACUCCAGUGCCUGAGUGUUGCCUUCCAUGGGUGUUUCCCCGUGUUUGCCGAGUUCGUCAGUGAACGCUGUCCUUCCCUGAUCUCCCUGUGAGCCACCUCCACGACGCCAUAGGUCUUACCUAUCGGACGCCAUACUCCGUGCACUUACCUUCUCCUGAUCCACCCCUGCGGACUCACCUUGAGACGCCACCAGCUACCCGCAGGUCGCCCUAGCCCCGGGAGCUAUAUUAGACCUGGACCUCCGCCAGCGGCUCUGUCCGUCCACAGCACACUUACCUGUCCGCUCUCCAACGCUCUCCGUCGACUCAGUCUGCCGGAACCUGGAACCCACGCCUCUGCAGCAGGUCUGCGCUUCCACUCUCCCUUCCUGAAAUCAGACGUUCUGAUUCCUCUUACCAAUCUCCGACCAUCGUCCCCUUACCCCUUUCCCUUUAAAUAAACUUAUUUAACUG